UCUCUUGUCUUUCUUCUUCUCUUCCCCAAAAAACCCGCCACAAUAAAAUACACAGCUGAGAAAAGCAAGAGGAACGAAAAAAUAUGUAUAUGUAUAAUUAUGUAAUCAUGGCAGAAGGUGUCACGUAUACAACUUGUGUUAUGUAUGACUCCCAACAUGUAGACGCAGUUGAUCCAUAUCCAUACAUACAUACACAGGCUCCCUUCUCAGUGAGUUACUUUUUAUUAUAGUCCAAAAUAUACACGAUAAAACACAACAUACACGGCCCACGAGGCAUACAUACGUACAGACAUACAUCCUGUACACACAACGUAGGCGCAUUACAUCAUUAUCAUCAUCAGCAGCAGCAUUAGCAGCAGCAGCAUACAUAGAAACAAAAAUAUAUAUAUGUAUGUAUGUAUAAUAAACUCACAGGUCAAAAUAUUCUUCUUUCUAAAAAUAACCUUAAGAACAAAGCAAGAAUCACAUAGCGGACGAAAAAAAAAAAGAGAAAAAUAUAACACUUGAAAAGAAAACGGGAGGAAGUUACGAGGGGAGACUUAAAUAAAAAAAAAAUCUGAAUAGAAAACGUGAAAUUGAACAAAAAAAAAGUUAGAUUUCAUUGAUAUUAUUAUUAUUUUUUUUUCUUCCCUCUCCUUCUUCAUAUACAAUUAGGGUCAUGAUUACCAAGAUGGCGCGUGACUGGCCUGCCCGUGCGUGAAGCAAAGAACUAUGCAAUGACUCCUUCGAACAUGGUUGGCUACAAAUAGUAAUUAUGUAUGUACAGCACGUGGUAGCAUUAUUAUAUUUUUUUGGUUUUUACUUUCUAUUAUAUACAUAUUACAAAAACGAAAAUACUUACGUUAACAUUCCCCAAAAAAAAAAAAAUCAAGGAAAAUGUCCCCUUUCCCUCCCCCUCUUUUUUUUUCCCCUCAAUCCCCCUCAUCAUCCCUUCUUCCCCUUUCAUAACAGACCGCUGCCUCCUCCUCCCCUUUCUUAUUUUUUUUCUCAUCUCCUCUUCGCUUGUGUCAUAUUUACUACACCUAUUUUCCUUUUUUUUCUGUCUCUUCAUUCUUUCUUUUUCUUUCCUUAUUCCAUUCUUUCCCUUCCCUUUUUCCUCCCCAUAAAAGAGUUCUAACUACGCUAAGGCCUUUUUGUAUAACUUGUAUUCUUGUAUUAUUUUCUUCCUAUGUAGACUUUCUUCUCUUUUCUUCCUCUAGUAUGUAUUGUAGUAUGCAUGCGGUUUACUUACAUGUGUAUACUCGAGUUACUUAAUUACUUAGCAGCAUGUCACGCGUGAGCAAAAGUUGAAGGAGGAAACAUCUUAAGUCAGGUGAUGGACUUGAUAGGAAAAAAAAAAAAUGGUCAUAAAUAUGUUUCGUUCACCUGCUUGUUGGGGGGGGGGAUGUUACAUAUAUACACAUUCACUCAUCCCUUUCCUUUCCCUCCCCUCCCCUCUUCCCCUCCCUAAGAAAAAAUCCUACAUAAUCCAGCUCCGAAUAAACUUUCCCCUCUCUCUCUUUCUCUGUUUUUUUUUUAUCAUGUAUCUUUUUCUUUAUCUCUUUCUUUUCUUCCUCUUUUCUGUGUAUUUAUUUUCGUUUUUUCCUUUAUUUUUUUUCUCUUCCUCUCUUUCGAAGCCAAUACUAUUUUUCCCCCUUCCUUUUCUCUUUUCUUUUUCCCUUUCUUUGGUCUGUUGGUUAAUCCGAUCGGGUGAAAAGGGGAUCCAGUCGCUUCACUCUUUUAUAAAACACGUUGUUCUAAGCUUGUCUUACUGAAGGGUUAACGAAAACUCUCUCUCUCUCUCUCUCUCUCUCUCUCUCUCUCUCUCUCUCUCUCUCUCUCUCUCUCUCUCUCUCUCUCUCUCUCUCUCUCU